ACUCCUACGGGAGGCAGCAGUGGGGAAUAUUGGACAAUGGGCGAAAGCCUGAUCCAGCCAUGCCGCGUGUGUGAAGAAGGUCUUCGGAUUGUAAAGCACUUUAAGUUGGGAGGAAGGGCAGUAAGUUAAUACCUUGCUGUUUUGACGUUACCAACAGAAUAAGCACCGGCUAACUUCGUGCCAGCAGCCGCGGUAAUACGAAGGGUGCAAGCGUUAAUCGGAAUUACUGGGCGUAAAGCGCGCGUAGGUGGUUCAGCAAGUUGGAUGUGAAAUCCCCCGGGCUCAACCUGGGAACUGCAUCCAAAACUACUGAGCUAGAGUACGGUAGAGGGUGGUGGAAUUUCCUGUGUAGCGGUGAAAUGCGUAGAUAUAGGAAGGAACACCAGUGGCGAAGGCGACCACCUGGACUGAUACUGACACUGAGGUGCGAAAGCGUGGGAGCAAACAGGAUUAGAUACCCCUGGUAGGAUAGCG
rnacentral:rRNA from 1 species